AGGAGCAACGGCAGCAGCUGAAGGCCCGACUCCAUCGGCGAGGCGCCGCCGAUGAACUGCCAGUGCUGCGUGAGCAGCAGCAUCAGCCCGCCCAUGCCGAACAUGGCGAGGACCACGGACACCACCGCCACGGAGAACGCGCGGUCGCGGAAGAGGGUCGGGUCGAAGAGCGGAUCGCGGAUGCGCAGCACUCGCACCACCAGGGCGGUGAGCAGCACC
rnacentral:antisense_RNA from 1 species